rnacentral:lncRNA from 1 species
AAGCCUGCUCUCUCUUCCCUCCUCCCAGAUCAGCAAGGUAGAAACUUCACUCCAGGCUACAGCAGCCAAGAAUAUAGGACUGCCUCUCCCCCAACUGGAAGCAUUAUUCUCAGGAGGAGUAAAACUGCAUUUCUCAUUCUGCCCCCAGCUACUGGUUGCUGAGGCUGUUCCAGGUAACUGUGGUCAAGAGCACCACAACCCACGAGUAGACUUCAGAGAAUUAUCCAGCCAUUCUUGCUUUGUUCCUGAUCUUACAGGGAAAAGUUCUUGUUUCUCACUGAUACAGGAAGUACGUGUGCAGAUUUGUCACAUGGUUAUAUUGCAUGAAGCUGAGGUUUGUGGUAUGGAUCCUGUCACCAGGGAGUGAGCAUAGUAGCCAAUAGGUAAUUUUAAUAUCUGUAAUGGAUAUAGGGCUAGUCAAAUUAUAUAUUUAUUUUGGAUGAGUUUUGUUAGAUUGUGCCUUUUAAGAAAUUGGGUCACCCAGGUUAUCAAAUAAUGAAUAUAGAGUUGUUCAUAAUAUUUCUUUAUUACCCUUUUAAUGUCCAUAGGAUCUUUAGUGAUGUCCCCUCUUUCAUUUCUGAUAUUAUUAAUUUGUGUCUUCUCACUUUCUUUCUUAGCCUGGCUACAGGCUUAUCAAUUUUAUUGAUCUUUUCAAAGAACCAGCUUUUCGUUUUGCUGAUUCUCUUUAUUAAUAUCCUGUUGUCAAUUUCAUUGAUUUCUGAUGUGAUCUGUAUUAUUUCUUUUCUUCUGCUAACUUUGGAUUUAAUUUGCUUCCUUUUUUCUAGUUUCUUAAGGUGUAAGCUUAAGAUUAUUGAUUUUGUGUCUUUUUUCUUUUCUCAUAUGUGCAUGCAGUACUAUAAAUUUCCCUCUCAGCACUGCUUUCACUGCAUGCCACAAAUUUGGAUCAGCUGUCAUUUCAUUUUCAAUUAGCUCAUAAUAUUUUUAAAUUUCUAUUAAGAUUUCUUCUUCUAAAAAAAAGAUAUCUUCUUUAAACAAAACCAUGUUAUUUGGAGAUAAGUAUACAUUCAUGAAACUAUCAGCACAAUCUAUGCCAUAAAACUACCUGUCACUUUCAAAAGUUUUCUCCUGCCUUAUUUGUGUGUGUGUGUGUGUGUGUGUGUGUGUGUGUGUGUGUGUGUUGAGAAUACUUAAUAUAAGAUCUACCUUCUUGGCAAAUUUUUUUGAGACAAAGCCUUACUCUUUCACCCAGGCUUGAGGGCAGUGGCACAAUCAUGGCUCACUGCAGCCUUGAACUCCUGGGUUCAACCAAUCC